UAAAAAGUUUGAUUUUGGUUUUAAAAAUUAGUUUAAUUAUUUUUAUGCAUGUAAUUUUUUGAAAGAUAAAUUUUUCUAAAUGAGAUUUAUUUAUAAUUUUCAGUGUUAAAUUUUUAAAUAAUUUAAUAAUUUGAAUUGAAAAAAUAUUUUAUUUCAGAAAAAUGUUAUGCCAGCAUUCGCGGUUAUAUUUCAUGAAAAAACUAAUUAUUAUUGGAAUUUUAGAUAUUGUUGUUUAAAAUUUAAUUUAUUAAUUUAGGUGAAAUUUAUUAAUAAUAUUUUAUUUAAUUUCUAUAAAAUCUAUAAUAUAAACUAGGAUUAGAUACCCUAUUAUUUUAGAAAAAUUUAAUUUUCCAGGUAUUAAUUUAAUUUAUGAAAUUUAAUAGAUCUGGCGGUUUUUAAAUCUUUUUAGAGGAACCUGUAAUUUAAAUGAUGAUCCACGAUAAAUUUUACCUUUAUUUUCUUGUAUAUCUCUGUCGUUGAAUGUAAUUAAAGUUUAAUUUUCUUUUUAUUUAUAUUAAUUAUGUUAGGUCAAGGUGCAGUUAUGUAAAGGUUAUUAUGGGUUACAAUAAUUUUUUUUAUUUGAAAUUUAAUUUUGAUUUAAAUUAAAUUUGGAUUUAAUAGUAAUUUUUUUUAUUAAAUUUUUUGAAUUAAGCUCUUAUUUAUGUACAUAUCGCCCGUCAUUCUCAUAAAGUGAGACAAGUCGUAACAAAGUAGAUGUAUUGGAAAAUGUAUCUAGAA
rnacentral:ncRNA from 1 species